UACGUAGGGGGCAAGCGUUGUCCGGAAUCAUUGGGCGUAAAGCGCGUGUAGGCGGUUCGGUAAGUCUGCUGUGAAAGUCCAGGGCUCAACCCUGGGAUGCCGGUGGAUACUGUCGGACUAGAGUACGGAAGAGGCGAGUGGAAUUCCCGGUGUAGCGGUGAAAUGCGCAGAUAUCGGGAAGGAACACCAAUUGCGAAGGCAGCUCGCUGGGACGUUACUGACGCUGAGUACGCGAAACGUGGGGAGCAAACAGG
rnacentral:rRNA from 1 species